UCACAGCUAUAACUUUAAUCUAAAAUUGCAAUUUUAUUUAAGGUGUUCAACUUGCAUUAGUCACAAUGUCAAAGAGUUGCAAGCUUCACUUAAAAUUUAUCUUCUUAUUUCACACUUUUCUACUAUUGGAAACUUUAAUCUUCUUAAGGGUGCAUACAUUUUGGAAAAUGCAAAAUUAAAUAUUCCGAAUUAUAAGAUGUUAAGGGUCCACAUAGAUAUUUUAAAACUCUUGCCAUAAUUUCUGGGCCAAAGUAUGGGUAGAUGCAGGCUGAACAUAGCAGAGACCCACUGCAGUGCAAGAGAAGACGAACUCUCGAAGCAGAAACAGGAUUAACUUGUAACCAGAUCGGCUGAAAUGCCACCCAUCCUACCCCACAUGCCAGGGAAUACUUCUGAGGCAGCCCUUGUGCCUGCUAUGUUUCAUUCUGUCCUCAGCCACAAUCAUGUCAUGCCCAUGAGCUCAGCCUUGUAAUUGUUCAAAUAUAGAACAGCUGCAGCCAUAUGAGCUUCUGGCCUUGAGAACACUACAACCAAAAUCAGUCUAAAGUUUGCACUGGAUUUAGAGAUUAAAAACUAGUUUCAUGUGUUGUCCUUUUUCUUACGAUGACCUCUCAAAUUACAGUUUACAGUCUAAUUAAACUCUCCCCCAUCUUUUAAUAGGAAGUUCAAGAUGUCCUGGAAGAAUCAGCAAUAGUACAUGCAAGUAAACGAAGAACACAGUCUGAAUAGCUCAGUUGUCCCAUGGAAAGCAAAUGCAUCUUACUAUAAGCCACUGAUACAUAUACUGUGGAUAUAGGUGUAUUUUUGGCAUAAAUCCAGAGAUCGUAAUCUAAAGGUGGGAACCACUUGAUCCUUCAGAAGCUGCUAAACUGCAACUUUCAGCAGAUUUUUAAAGAUAACUAAUGAACUCUCUCUUACAUCCACCUUCUUGCUCCUCCCACCGAGGUAUGAAAGCAAGGCAUGAAAGCAGUUGUGGCUCAUUCCACACAGUUGUCUUACUGUGCAAUUGUCUGCUAGCCGAGUUGCUGUUCUGAGACUUAAAGCCCUGUUAGUUGCUGUUAGUGCUUCCUUUUUCACCCGACUCCAGAAGAUGCCUAAACAUCUGUAAAAGC
rnacentral:lncRNA from 1 species